GGGCACAUAGCGUAGGGGUUAUCGCGUUCGCUUUGCAUUCGAAAAUUUCCUGGUGCUUCUGCGAAAGGUCCCCGGUUCAAUUCCGGGUGUGUCCA